GUUGGUGAACCAGCGGAGGGAUCAUUACAGAGUUGAAAAACUCCCAACCAUUGUGAACCUACCUCACCGUUGCUUCGGCGGGUGGCCAGGGGAAACCCAGGCCGCGCCGGCCCCCCUCGCGGGGCUGGCAGCCCGUCAGAAGCCUGAAACUCUAGCAUCUUGGCCUCUCUGAGUAACUUAUACAAUAAGUCAAAACUUUCAACAACGGAUCUCUUGGCUCUC
rnacentral:misc_RNA from 1 species